rnacentral:rRNA from 1 species
AGCAUUUCUUAACGGAGAAGAUGGCGACCGGCGCACGGGUGCGUAACGCGUAUGCAUCCUACCCUUAACUGUAGGAUAGCCCGGAGAAAUCCGGAUUAAUACUACAUGGUACUAUAAUAUGGCAUCAUAUAAUAGUUAAAGAUUUAUUGGUCAAGGAUGGGCAUGCGUGACAUUAGCUAGUUGGUACGGUAAUGGCGUACCAAGGCAACGAUGUCUAGGGGUUCUGAGAGGAAGAUCCCCCACACUGGUACUGAGACACGGACCAGUCUCCUACGGGAGGCAGCAGUGAGGAAUAUUGGUCAAUGGGCGAGAGCCUGAACCAGCCAUGCCGCGUGCAGGAAGACGGCCUUCUGGGUUGUAAACUGCUUUUAUACGGGAGCAAAAGGGUCCUGCGGGACACAUUGAGAGUAUCGUAUGAAUAAGCACCGGCUAACUCCGUGCCAGCAGCCGCGGUAAUACGGAGGGUGCAAGCGUUGUCCG